UUCGCAUGAACAACGUUUCAAAGAUGGCCUCUGGCUAUCUCUUCUGGAUGGACCUGCGGUGCAUUAGCUUGUUGGUGGGGUAAUGGCCUACCAAGGCGAUGAUGCAUAGCCGAGUUGAGAGACUGAUCGGCCACAAUGGGACUGAGACACGGCCCAUACUCCUACGGGAGGCAGCAGUAGGGAAUCUUCCACAAUGGGCGCAAGCCUGAUGGAGCAACACCGCGUGAGUGAAGAAGGGUUUCGGCUCGUAAAGCUCUGUUGUUAAAGAAGAACAUGCGUGAGAGUAACUGUUCACGCAUUGACGGUAUUUAACCAGAAAGUCACGGCUAACUACGUGCCAGCAGCCGCGGUAAUACGUAGGUGGCAAGCGUUAUCCGGAUUUAUUGGGCGUAAAGAGAGUGCAGGCGGUUUACUAAGUCUGAUGUGAAAGCCUUCGGCUUAACCGGAGAAGGGCAUCGGAAACUGGCUAACUUGAGUGCAGAAGAGGGUAGUGGAACUCCAUGUGUAGCGGUGGAAUGCGUAGAUAUAUGGAAGAACACCAGUGGCGAAGGCGGCUACCUGGUCUGUAACUGACGCUGAGACUCGAAAGCAUGGGUAGCGAACAGGAUUAGAUACCCUGGUAGUCCAUGCCGUAAACGAUGAGUGCUAGGUGUUGGAGGGUUUCCGCCCUUCAGUGCCGGAGCUAACGCACUAAGCACUCCGCCUGGGGAGUACGACCGCAAGGUUGAAACUCAAAGGAAUUGACGGGGGCCCGCACAAGCGGUGGAGCAUGUGGUUUAAUUCGAAGCUACGCGAAGAACCUUACCAGGUCUUGACAUCUUGCGCCAACCCUAGAGAUAGGGCGUUUCCUUCGGGAACGCAAUGACAGGUGGUGCAUGGUCGUCGUCAGCUCGUGUCGUGAGAUGUUGGGUUAAGUCCCGCAACGAGCGCAACCCUUGUUACUAGUUGCCAGCAUUCAGUUGGGCACUCUAGUGAGACUGCCGGUGACAAACCGGAGGAAGGUGGGGACGACGUCAGAUCAUCAUGCCCCUUAUGACCUGGGCUACACACGUGCUACAAUGGACGGUACAACGAGUCGCGAACUCGCGAGGGCAAGCAAAUCUCUGAAAACCGUUCUCAGUUCGGACUGCAGGCUGCAACUCGCCUGCACGAAGUCGGAAUCGCUAGUAAUCGCGGAUCAGCAUGCCGCGGUGAAUACGUUCCCGGGCCUUGCACACACCGCCCGUCA
rnacentral:rRNA from 1 species